rnacentral:rRNA from 1 species
CAGCCGCCACGGUAAUACGAAGGGGGCUAGCGUUGCUCGGAAUUACUGGGCGUAAAGGGAGCGUAGGCGGAUCGUUUAGUCAGGGGUGAAAUCCCGGGGCUCAACCUCGGAACUGCCUUUGGUACUGGCGAUCUUGAGUAUGGGAGAGGUGUGUGGAACUCCGAGUGUAGAGGUGAAAUUCGUAGAUAUUCGGAAGAACACCAGUGGCGAAGGCGACACACUGGCCCAUUACUGACGCUGAGGCUCGAAAGCGUGGGGAGCAAACAGGAUUAGAUACCCCUGUAGUCCCUGUCUCUUAUAA